CCGGCUUUCAUCGGUCAAUGCACACGAAGAUUCGGUAGUAGAGCGUUAAUUUUUAGAGAAAAAAAUCGGAACCCUUGCCUGCUGUCCGUUUACUUACUAAAAGUUACAGGUAGUAUGUACGCCGGUCAUUUUCCGGGUUCGGGAAA
rnacentral:misc_RNA from 1 species